rnacentral:lncRNA from 10 species
UGAACUGCUGUGGCCUGGGACUGGGCUUAGAGUACAGGCAGCUGCUGCGGUGAAGGUGUCAGAAGGCACAGGCUAGGGUCCCAGAGAGGUUUAGGAGGGGGUUUCUCUGCUGGGUGUUUGCUCAGUGCUGGAUGGUGGGUGCUGAGGGCCUCAUUUGCAUAGGGAGAGCAGCUGCUGUCCCAGCCACACUGCUGCCCACAAUCUCCACGUGGCUGCAAUCUCGCUCUCAGUCACCAUCUCCCACAUGGACUAGGGGUUACCCAGGCUGCCUUGGCCACGUGCUUCCCCCAACACACAGCCAUCCAGGAACAACCAGAAAUCAGACUACUGUCUCCGCCACCCUCAGGGGUUCCAUUCAGGGAGUCCACCUCCCAAGGUGGCUGUGGGAAUAAAACGAGAUCCUGGGGGAAGCAGAGAGCCCAGUGCACAGGGGUGAUCAGUAACCGGCAGCCCCUUUCCCUGCCUUUCCCUCUACUUCCAACAUUAUGUUGUGAAGAACAGGGCAGACCUGGGCCCAUGCUAUCUCUCACCCUGGCUCUGUGACUUGAGGCAACUCACUCCAACUCUGUAAAUCAACUGCUCAUCUGCAAAACUGGCAAGAAACUGAGAAGGCACUGGUUCUCAGAUUGGCAAAGCUCAUCGUCACUGCCUCACUCCCUCAACUCUAUGUCCAGGGACCACGGGUUUCCCAGGGUUCCCAAACUUGCUGUUGGCAAAGGGCCUGAUAUCCGUCACUGACCUUUUUAUUCUGAAUGGGUCCCCGUUGACUUUAAAGCUGGAAUAUUCUUAGAGGAAUUCUAAACUCCUCCUUUCCAACUCCCUACUCAUUUUACAGAAGGAGAAAGUGAAGAGAAGAGAGGGAGAAGGGCCCUGACCGAGGCCACCAGCUUGUAAGUAGCAGCCCUAGGCUUGGGACCAGGGCCUCCUGAAGGUGACAGUCCUUUCAGCCAUGUGUCCUUGUUCCUCUAGUUACCUCCAAUUAACUCUAGGUAACCCAGCCCAGUCUUUGAUUCUGUGUUGAAAGGUGCGAGGUGCUGGAGCCGGGAAGAGGUGCGUUCUUGCUCUCGACAGGAAGUGUCAUGCAGCUCCGGAGCCAUCAACCUGGCCAGUCUUCACAGCCUACCCCAGUGGCAGACCCCCUGAAUCCACCCCAGGGCCCCAGUAAGCCCCCGUGAACCUGUGAACUUUGCAUUUCUAUGCUCAACACUCAGGGUGAGCAGUCCAGAAAAAACAACCCAUGCACAGCAGGUGCUGGGGGUAGUCAGGCUUCAAGAUGCCUCCAAAUGGUUCUCAUCUCUGAGUAUUCACACUGAAUGGAACUGACCUAUGUAACUAACAGGAUGUCGUGGGAAUGACAGGCAUGACUUCCAUGGCUAGGUCAUAAAGAGAUUGUGGCUUCUACCUUGCUCUCUCUUGGACCCCAGUUGCUGGAGGAAGCCAUCUGCCAUGUCAAACAGCCUAUGGAGAUGCCCAUGUGGGGAAGAAUGGAGGUCCCCUGCCAACAAUCAGCUUUGACAUGCCAAGCCUGUGAGGGAGCCAUCUGGAAAGGGAGUCUUCCAGCCCCAAUCAGGCCUUCAGAUGACUGCAGCCCUGGCCAGCUCCUUGACUGCAACCUCAUGACAGACCUUGAGCAAGAACUGCUCAGCUAAGCUGCUUCUGAAUUCUUAACCUACAGAAAUGUCUAAUGCUUUAAGAAGCAAAGUAUGGGGUAAUUUACCACAUGCAAUAGAUAACAAAACCAUGUGCAAUAAAUACUGGUUAAACAAGUGAAUG